GCCUCCUUAGCUCAUCAGGUAGAGCACCGCACUUGUAAUGCGAAGGUGGCCGGUUCGAGUCCGGCAGGAGGCUCGA
rnacentral:tRNA from 1 species